rnacentral:rRNA from 1 species
GCAAGUCGAACGGUAACAUAGUCUUCGGACUGAUGACGAGUGGCGCACGGGUGCGUAACGCGUAUGCAACCUACCCUUAACAGGGGGAUAGCCCGAAGAAAUUCGGAUUAAUACCCCAUAGUAUCCUUUGAUGGCAUCUGAAGAGGAUUAAAGAUUUAUCGGUUAAGGAUGGGCAUGCGUGACAUUAGCUAGUUGGUGAGGUAACGGCUCACCUAGGCUUCGAUCCAUAGCUGGUCUGAGAGGAUGAUC